rnacentral:lncRNA from 10 species
CAAGGUUGUGCCCACUCGGCACGACCCAGGUUCCAUGCUACAGGCCUCUACUUGUCCAGACCUGAGGGUCAGAUUCAGAUGGUGCAAAUGUUUAAGACCUGGGUCUUCAACGAGAUGAAUUAUCAGCUAUUUCAUAGCUGCAGUGUUGGAUAUGCCGAGACGAUAAAAGCAACAGCAAUCAGAAUCAACAGUUGAAACGACAUGGCAGACGCUGUGAAUGCUAUGAACUGCUGUGCUGAGCAGCAGGAUUCCUGUGUCCUGGCGCAAUGCCCAUGGGGAUUCAUGCUUUCAGAGGGUCACGCCUCAGGAACACGUAGAAGGGCAAGCAUUUCAUCUGGCAGGGCACUGAUUUAAUCUGCACGCAUGUUUGGCUGUAAAACUAGCUCCUCCCCCUUACCAUUUUUGAGUCGCUGCCGGACUCAAAUUCCACAGAUUCUGGAAGGUGUCCAGGAACUCGUUGAUUUGUCAAACUUAUGGCUACACACAGCUGGAAUGGAGACGGACUCCACUGAGGAGACUCAUACAGGACAGGAGGGAAUUUUAAGAGGAUAACCCUGAGAUUGAAAACAUCAAACCAAACCUGAAGCACUGAGAGGUUGGGUAACCAGCUCUGGUCACUGAGUUGGUGAGGGAUGGAUUCAGAAGAGGUCUCCAAUUGUGACACCGCAGAGGACCUGCUCUUGGCCACUACACUCUACCAGCUCUGCAAGAAGGCCCCUGGCGCUGGUUCUCUCUGGAGGUUGAGUUUCCGUGGGGAGAGAAGAGUGCCCAGCGUGACCACCGUUGGCUGACUUCCCAUGCCUUAUUCCUUGUUUCCCCCGCUGGGGCCCAGCCCACCAGCCCCGCAGUGCAUGAAGCCACUUAUCACCACGGUUCCCAGAGAGGACGGGCUGGCCCAAGUCUGCAUUGUCACCUGCUCUGGGGAAAACAAAGCCCUCUCCCCCGCCCUCCCCGCAGCAUGCUGGGCACAGGGCCAGCCCGUUCUAUGUUUUCAGUAAAUUUUCAAACAUGCUGGUUUUGGUGGCAGCUUUUGCAGUGAUUAUCUCAUUAGGGGCUUGGCCCUGAAACACCUUAUUUAUUGUGGAUUGAAAAAAGUUCACCUUUUCAAGCAAAAAAAAAAACAAAAAAAAACAAACAAAAAAAAAACAGAAGAAAGAAAUAAAAGAACCAGACUGUAGUUUCCCUGGAAAAUUUUCGCUUGUGGGAAAAUACCUCCCCGGCCCGUAGAGAGACGCCAUCACCAACAGUGUGGAGUUAUCAGAUGGGACUGGUCCAGCUUUGUGGGGCCGGGGCACACAGUGCCAAUGUCCAGGUAGUUUCCAAACCGUGUUUUGUUUCCUCUGUCCUCUUUAUAAACCCACGGAUUGAACCUCAUGGGCCCACAAGUUCCUGAUUGCUUCGUAUAUAUUGUACAGAUUUUUUCAGGAAAAUAAAAUAGAUCUUGCUCUACCCUGACAGAGCAGGGCCGAUAUUCUCUAGAAGAGAGGAGAACUCUAGAAUGGAUGGCAGCACUCUGAGUGUGUAACCCAAACAGCAUGCUGAAAUAGUAAAACUCUGCCGCAGGGGCAGAUGGCUGCUGGGAGAAUAUUUAUAGCAGGGAUCUAGAAAUAACCGUAAGGGAAAAGCCUUCUGAGGAGGAACGGAACAAGAGUCUUCGGGGUGGCACUUGGAGACACUCUUGCUCUUGCCUGAGGUCCUGGAGGGCUGCAGGCCGACCGCUGCACGGGAGAGAAUAUACGUGGUAUUCACAGGGUACACAGAAGUCAUAAUACUUCAUGUAGAUCUGUGCCACACAGAUGUGAGAGCUAGGACUUGGAAACAGGAAGAGAAGUGGGAGGAUGAUUAGGAGCGUAAUUGGUAAAUGUAGUACAGUCAAGGCAGACGCUGUAAAAGGACCGGGCACUGCAGAGCUGCAGGACAAGAGCCUGGGGACACGACAGUCAACCAGCCCGUGGGCAUCAUGGAAACAGCACUUUGCAGGCACCUGAGUGAAGCACAGGAAGGAAAUGCAGACACAGGUGAAGGAGCACGGGGUUGGGUUAGAGCCAGGCAGCAUCCCCCCAGCCGCUCCAUGCUAAAGCCUUCAUCGAUUGCCCAGAGAGUGGGGGUUCUCAGUUAACGUUGGAACCAUACAGCAAUGAGGCCUGGGUACUACUUGUAAUUUUCUGUUUAUUUCUAACUUUAUGAACUGCGUCAAGUAUACUUCCUAGCAUGGGUUCAGUAUUUUGCAACAAAUCUUUCUGCCGUGGAUAUAAAUUCAUGAGCUUCAGGUUUCAUUAAAGAGAAGUACACAAAUGAAGUACCCAGACUAACAUUUGAAAAUUUAAUUUUAUGUUUGUUUUUAUUUUUUAAGGGACAGGGUUUCACUAUGCUCAGGCUGGACUCAAACUCCUGGGCACAAGUGAUCCUCCUGCCUCAGCCUCCUGAGUAGCCGGGACCAUAGGCACACACCACCACGCCCAGCUCAAACUAACAUUUGACUGCCUUGUGAAAUAUUACCUAGUCACUAUCCCAGGUCCCUGACAGCAUAGACCAGCAAAACAUUAGAAUGACACCAGACCUAUUAUAACUGCAAGCCAUGAACAGGAUUUCAAGAAAAGAGAUGGAAGAAUGUUCAGAUUCCUAAAAAUCUUCUUAAAAGAGAACUCCUAGCUUUCCACAAAAUUCACUUAAUUUCUUAAGUGAUUUUUAUCUUUUAAAAGCACAAUAAAAAGCAAUCAGAUGUUGUGUGUCUGUGCAUCUGUACAGCAGUAAAGGUAUCUCUCACAUGGCAUUAAAAAAAAGGCAAACAAAUCCAACACACCACUAGAACUCAAAUUUGGAGAAAAUAGCUGCAGGAAAAAAUUGCGCUGUGUGUAUAAAGGUUUUUUUUAAAGAGUGUCUUUUCCUGAACUGACAUUUCCAUUCUUAGUUUUUUGGUUUUGUUUUGUUUUGUUGUUGUUUUGAGACGGAGUCCCACUCUGUCACCAGGCUGGACUGCAGUGGUGUGAUCUCAGCUCACUGCAACCUCCGCCUCCCGGGUUUAAGCGAUCCUUCUGCCUCAGCCUCCUGAGUAGCUGGGACUACAGGCAUGGGCCACCAUGCCCAGCUAAUUAUUUGAACUUUUAGUAGAGAUGGGGUUUCACCAUGUUGACCAGGAUGGUCUCGAUCUCUUGACCUCAUGAUCCGCCCACCUUGGCCUCCCAAAGUGCUGGGAUUACAGGCGUGAGCCACCGUGCCUGGCCCAUUCUUAGUUUUCUUACUUGGGUAUUUUUCCCUGUCUGCCUCAGGGAAAUGAGGAAACCAAUAGAAGCUUGGCACUUAUUUACUUUUCAGUUAGUAUAUGAUGUGAUUUAUUAAAUGUAUCUUUAAGUCUCCAACUGGAAUCACCCAUGUUCUUAACAACUUAGGUUACUCCUUUCAAGGAAAUGAACAUAUUAUUACAAGCACAGCCAUUCUGGAAAAUACAACUGUCCACUACAUAUAGAAACUUGGCCUCAGAUGAUUGUGUCUUCUUAGCAAGGGACAGUUUCUAUUCCCCUGAACCCCACCUCACAGCUCUGGAUGACAUGAUUGAAGCUAAGGCAAGGUCAUUUUCUACCCCGACUCAAAUCUCUCUUACAGCAAGUUAACCAGGUGGGGCUUGAGUGGUCCCAAGCUUCACACUCCGAGUCAGGCAGGUUUCUUAGGUCUGCUCCCAUACUGAACCGGCUACUAGGGGCACCUGACCACGUAGAACCCAACAGACAGUGACCGGGUAAAUACUCAGCACUCGGGUUCUAUUCUCCUAUUGAAUAAAGGCAGCAUCAACCUGCCUAUGGACAGUGAUUGAAAGCAUUUCACUCCAAAUUGAGCUGCACACUCUGGUGUCUUCAGGCACAGCCAGGCAUAGCCAGGACAGUUGGUUGCAACAGGACUGGGCCGACUGGGAGCCCAGUGAGGCAGGGCUGGGAAUGGACUCUGUUGCUGGCCUUGGGAGAACACACAAGGGCAAAAUGAGAAACUGGAGGUAGCUGUAAUCCCUCUGAUGUCAGGGACUGUGUCUUACUUCCACUGUGUCUUCAGUGCCCAGCUCGGAGUCUAGCACAUAGUAACCUUCCAUCAGUGUUCAUUGAGUAUAGACAUCAGAGAAAGCUGGAGUUUGCAGGGGUGAUCCUCAUCGAAGGGAUACAUCGUGGUGACCCACUUAGUGGAGGACACUAUUGGGGCCCUGGAGAUGGUGAUACUCAGCAAUUCACAGGCAUGUGGCUGGCACUCGAGGAGGGAGUCUGUCAUCAAAUAGGUGGGUCUCGGGACCAGGCUGGGAUAUAAAGGUGGGACUUUAGGCCUUGGAGACUCUGGCCACAGCAAGAUAGGACUAGAUGAGGUCAACUGCUCUCCAGAAUGGGACUCAGGCCUAGGGGACAGCAGAGACCUAGGUAUAGAGAA